rnacentral:lncRNA from 1 species
AGAAAAAAGAAAAUUGUAGCUCCACGAAAUUAGCUUCUGUCUAGUGAGAUAAUGUUAAAAAUGGUUUCUGCAUCAGCAGUUCCUUUCAAAAUGAAAAAUUGACUUAGCACAUGGCCUAGCAAUUGCACUUUUGGGCAUUUAUCCCAGGGAAAUGAAGACUCAUUUUCAUGCAGGAAACUAUACACAAAUAUUCAUAUCAGCUUUAUUCAUAAGGGCCAAAAACUGGAAACUACCCAAAUGCCCUUCAGUGGAUAAAUGAUUAAACAAACUGUGGCACACCCAUACCAUGGAGUACUACUCAGUAAUAAAAAGGAGUUAACUAUUGACUCUGCUUGCAUGGAAUGUUAGAAAAUUAUGCUGAGUGGAAAAAGUCAAUCUCAAAAGGAUACAUACUGCAUGAUUUCAUUGAUGUAACUUUCAUGAAGUAAAAUAAUUUUGGAGAUAAGCCGUAGGCCAAAUUAACUCCACAUGCUUGGGACCACUGCAUAUUUUGCCUCCUACAGAAACAAAAGAAUGGUAUUUUUAGAUUCUGAACAAUUUUGCCAUCUAAACUGCGUCUGCUUUCAUGUCACUGCUUCAGAGAAUAGUGAUAUCUCUACUUUUAUCCUAAACUAAUUUGCCCACUUUGUCAUCACCCAUAAUCUCUGGAGUGGAUUGGCCAUUAUGUGAAGAGUGACAGAAGAAUGUGAAAGGAGACUCGAAAGGCAAUGGAAAGUAUUGGAUCUUUGCACUGCUCUUUAUUCUAACACCCGAAUAGAAAAGAUGGAAGAAAUCAAAGGACUGCAUUUAUCCUGGGAAAAAGUUGGAAGAGCAAUUGUCCUUUACAUGAAAGCUUUUGUUACUUUUAUGCUUCUCUUAUUACUAGAAGGUAUUUUUAUGUGUGAUCAUCAAAAGUGGUAAAGUAUAGGACAAUGGCAGAAAAUUCAUUUUAUAAUUAUCCUUUGGUAAAAUAGCUUUUUUGCUCACUUGAAUUGGAAGAAUGAGCAGACAUCAUAAAGACUGUGAACUGUUUGAUGCCAUAAAAUUUCUCUUCUUUUAUAAUUUCCUUUUACAAUUUCUUGAUAAUGUCUAGUAGAAAUUUUAAUGCUGUAUUUAUAACUAUCUAAACAUGGAAUUGAAACAAAAUAAGGAAUCCCAGAAUGUGCUUAUUAAUAUACAUAGAAAACUUUAAUUCCAAUUAAAAAUACUACUUCCUAACCACAGUGAAGUAUCACCUGACACCUGUGAGAAUGGCCAUUAUCAAAAAGGCAAGAGAUAACAAGUAUUCUUGAGGAUGUGGCGGAAAGGG